GGGUCAUAGCUCAGGGGUAGAACAUCUGCUUUGCAUGCAGAAGGUGCUAAGUUCAAUCAUCAGCAUUCCCA